rnacentral:ncRNA from 2 species
UGCUUGGGCGAGAGUAGUACUAGGA